rnacentral:rRNA from 1 species
CCUGGCUCAGGAUGAACGCUAGCGACAGGCUUAACACAUGCAAGUCGAGGGGCAGCGAGGGAGUGGCAACACUUCCGUCGGCGACCGGCGCACGGGUGAGUAACGCGUAUGCAACCUGCCCUUCACAGGGGGAUAACCGGGAGAAAUUCCGACUAAUACCGCAUACGUCCUCCGGGGGCAUCCCCGGGGGAUGAAAGAAUUAUCGGUGAAGGAUGGGCAUGCGUGAUAUUAGGUAGUUGGCGGGGCAACGGCCC